rnacentral:rRNA from 1 species
AGUGAACGCUGGCGGUAGGCCUAACACAUGCAAGUCGAACGGCAGCACAGUAAGAGCUUGCUCUUACGGGUGGCGAGUGGCGGACGGGUGAGGAAUACAUCGGAAUCUACUUUUUCGUGGGGGAUAACGUAGGGAAACUUACGCUAAUACCGCAUACGGCCUACGGGUGAAAGCAGGGGAUCUUCGGACCUUGCGCGAUUGAAUGAGCCGAUGUCGGAUUAGCUAGUUGGCGGGGUAAAGGCCCACCAAGGCGACGAUCCGUAGCUGGUCUGAGAGGAUGAUCAGCCACACUGGAACUGAGACACGGUCCAGACUCCUACGGGAGGCAGCAGUGGGGAAUAUUGGACAAUGGGCGCAAGCCUGAUCCAGCCAUACCGCGUGGGUGAAGAAGGCCUUCGGGUUGUAAAGCCCUUUUGUUGGGAAAGAAAAGCAGCAGGUUAAUACCCCGCUGUUCUGACGGGACCCAAAGAAUAAGCACCGGCUAACUUCGU